UUUUUUUUUUUUUUUUUUUUUUUUGGCUGCACCUGUGGCAUAUGGAAGUUCCUGGGCCAGGUAUCGGAUCCAAGUUACAGGUGGGGCAACACUGGAUCCUUAACCCACUGAACCAGGCCGGGGACCAAUCCCUCACUUCUGCGGAGACCCAAGCCACUGCUGGGAGUCUUAACCCACUGUGCCACAGCAGGAACACUUCAUCAUUCACUUUUCAAAUGAGCAGAUUUUUUUUUUUUUUUGGCCAUGCCCACAGCAUGUGGAAGUUCCGGGGCCAGGAAUCAAACCCAGGCCACAGCACUGACAAUGCCAGAUUCUUUAAAAGCUAGAUCAUUAGGGGAACUCCUCAAAUGAGCAGAUUUUUAAACCAUAAUACUCAAUGUUGGGAAGAAUGGAGAGAAGAACACACUCAUCCCACUGCUGAUGGGAUGAAACUGGCCAAAUUUUAAGGACAAUGAACAUGAUGACUAAGAACCGUUUGAGUCAGGCCAUAACACUUCCAGGAAUUAAUUCUGAGAAAAUAAGGAGAGGCUCCUAAAGAUUUAGACUCAAGUAUAUUCAUCCCAGCUUCACGUAGAAUAGGAAACUAUUAUGUCCAACAGUAGGGGAAUGGAUAAAUAAACUAUGUCAGUAAGAGGGAAUAUAAUGUUGGCAACGAAAUUUUUUUUUUUUUUUUUUUGCUUUUUAGGGCCGCACCCGUGGCAUAUGGAGUGGCCCUAGAAAAGACAAAAAAAAAAAAAAAAAUUAAAUGGCCAUACCUGUGGUAUAUGUCAAUUCCCAGGCCAGGAAUUGAAUCCAAGGCAUAGCUGCAGCAAUGCCAGAUCCUUUAACCCACUGUGCUGGGCCAGGGAUCAAACCCAAGCGUCCAGUGACCCGAGCCACUGCAACUGUAUUCUUAAACCACUGCGCUACAGCAGAAACUCCUGAAAAUGUUUUUUGAAAGCAUCUACUGAUAGGUGGGAAUGCUCAUGAAAGUAUAAUGAGCAGAAAAAUAGGACAUCUAUAUCCAUUAGGAAAACUUCUAAUACCCCUGAUUGUCAUCAAGAAACAGUUUCUUGGAGUUCCCAUUGUGGCUCAGUGAUAACAAAUCUGGCUAGUAUUCAUGAGAAUGUGGGUUUGAUCCCUGGUCUCACUCCGUGGGUUAAGGAUCCAGUGUUUCUGUGAGCUACAAUGUGGGUUGCAGAUGCAGCUGGAUCCUGCGUGGCUGCGCCUGUGACGCAGGCUGGCAGCUACAGCUCCAAUUUGAUCCGUAGCCUGGGAUCAGGAUAUUCUGAGAGUUUGGCCCUUAAAAAAAAAGACCAAAAAAAAAAAAAAAAAGAAAAAGAAAAGAAAAGAAAAAAAAGAAAUAGUUUCGUAUGCAAUCAACAGAAUGAAAAAGGAACCUACAGAAAACAUUUGCAAGUCAUAUAAGAGGUUAAUGUCCAGAAUAUAUAAAGAACACAAUUUAAAAAAAAACAAUUAAAAAUUGGGCGAAGGACCUAAAUAGACAUCUCCAAAGAGGAUAUACGAAUGACUAACAGACACAUGAAAAGAUGCUCAAAGUCACUAAUCAUUAGGGAAAUACAAAACAAAAGCACAAACUAAAGAAAAUCAGUGUUGGUGAAGAUAUGGAGAAAUGUGGAGUCCUUAUACACUGUUGGUGGGAAUGUAAGAUGGUGCAGUCACUGUGGACAACCGUAUUGGGUUCCUCAAAAAAUUAAAAAUAGAAUUAACAUAUGAUCCAGCAAUUUCACUUCUAGAUAUUUACCCAAAAGAACUGAAAGCAGGGUCCCAAGGAGGGAUUUGUACACCCUUAUUCGUCAGCAUUGUUCAUAAUAGCCAAAAUGUGGAAGCAACCCAAGUGUACAUGGAUGGAUGUGUGGAUAAACAAAAUGUGGUAUAAACAUAGUGUUAGCCUUUAAAAGGAAGGAAAUAUUGACACACUCCCACACGGAUGAACCUUGAGGACAUUAUGUUAAGUGAAGUAAGCCAGUCACAAAAAGAUAAGUCCUAUGUGAUUCCACUUACAUAAGGUA
rnacentral:lncRNA from 1 species